rnacentral:piRNA from 5 species
CGACCUGCUUCUGGGUCGGGGUUUCGUA